GAUGAACGCUAGCGGCAGGCCUAACACAUGCAAGUCGAGGGAGAGGUUACCUUCGGGUCACCAAAACCGGCGCACGGGUGCGUAACGCGUAUACAAUCUGCCUUUCACAUAGGGAUAGCCCGAAGAAAUUUGGAUUAAUACCUAAUGGUAUAUAAGAGCGGCAUCGUUUUUAUAUUAAAGCUACGGUGGUGAAAGAUGAGUAUGCGUUCUAUUAGCUAGUUGGAGAGGUAACGGCUCCCCAAGGCGACGAUAGAUAGGGGUUCUGAGAGGGAUGUCCCCCACACUGGUACUGAGAUACGGACCAGACUCCUACGGGAGGCAGCAGUGAGGAUUAUUGGACAAUGGUCGGAAGACUGAUCCAGCCAUGCCGCGUGCAGGAUGAAGGUCCUAUGGAUUGUAAACUGCUUUUGUAAGGGAAGAAUAAGGAGUACGUGUACUUUGAUGACGGUACCUUACGAAUAAGCAUCGGCUAACUCCGUG
rnacentral:rRNA from 1 species